rnacentral:rRNA from 1 species
CCUACGGGUGGCAGCAGUGGGGAAUAUUGGACAAUGGGCGAAAGCCUGAUCCAGCCAUGCCGCGUGUGUGAAGAAGGCCUUCGGGUUGUAAAGCACUUUCAGUGGGGAAGAAAGCCUUGGGGCUAAUACCCUCGAGGAAGGACAUCACCCACAGAAGAAGCACCGGCUAACUCCGUGCCAGCAGCCGCGGUAAUACGGAGGGUGCGAGCGUUAAUCGGAAUUACUGGGCGUAAAGCGCGCGUAGGCGGUCUGAUAAGCCGGUUGUGAAAGCCCCGGGCUCAACCUGGGAACGGCAUCCGGAACUGUCAGGCUAGAGUGCAGGAGAGGAAGGUAGAAUUCCCGGUGUAGCGGUGAAAUGCGUAGAGAUCGGGAGGAAUACUAGUGGCGAAGGCGGCCUUCUGGACUGACACUGACGCUGAGGUGCGAAAGCGUGGGUAGCAAACAGGAUUAGAUACCCCUGUAGUC